AUGAUUGGAAUUCUAGGUUUUUUGGAUGUAUGUAUUGAAUUUGAUUUAUGGUUCAAUGCAGGACGUGAUUUGAAUUGUCUGGAUUUUGGUACCAACUGGUUGUUGUAUGCAGGUUGGAUUUUGUAUGAAGAUGAACUUGAGUUGUUUGCGAAUGUAAUGUGA